AUGCGGGGACAUCCUGUACUGUUAAAUAGAGCACCUACCCUGUAUAGAUUAGGCAUACAGGCCUUUCAACCCAUUUUAGUAGAGGGGCGUACUAUUUCUUUACACCCAUUAGUGUGUAAGGGUUUCAAUGCGGACUUCGAUGGAGAUCAAAUGGCUGUUCAUCUACCUUUAUCCUUGGAAGCUCAGGCAGAAGCCCGUUUACUUAUGUUUUCUCAUAUGAAUCUCUUAUCUCCCGCUAUUGGGGAUCCUAUUUGCGUACCAACCCAAGACAUGCUUAUCGGGCUUUAUGUAUUAACGAUUGGAAAGCGUCGAGGUAUUUGUGCAAAUAGAUAUAAUAGUUGCAGAAACUACCCAAAUCUAAAAGUAAAUUACAAUAAUAAUAAUAAUUCUAAAUAUAGGAAAGAUAAAGAACCCCAUUUUUCUAGUUCUUAUGAUGCACUGGGAGCUUAUAGACAAAAACUAAUCAGUUUAGAUAGUCCCUUGUGGCUACGAUGGAACCUGGAUCAACGCGUCAUUGGGUCAAGAGAAGUUCCGAUUGAAGUUCAAUAUGAAUCUUUGGGGACUUAUCAUGAGAUUUAUGCCCACUCUUGGUCAUAUUCCUCACCCUAA
rnacentral:rRNA from 1 species